rnacentral:rRNA from 1 species
UACGUACGAGGCGAGCGUUAUCCGGAAUUACUGGGCGUAAAGCGCGCGCAGGUGGCUUGGCAAGUGAGAUGUGAAAUCUCCCGGCCUAACUGGGAGGGGACAUUUCAGACUGGCAGGCUUGAGGACAGCAGAGGUAGGUGGAAUUCCUGGUGUAGUGGUGAAAUGCGUUGAUAUCAUCAGGAACACCAGUGGCGAAAGCGGCUUACUGGGUCUCUUCUGACGCUGAGAAACGAAAUCUAGGGGAGCGUAGGGG